GUGGGGAAUCUUGCGCAAUGGACGAAAGUCUGACGCAGCGACGCCGCGUGAGUGAUGAAGGCCUUCGGGUUGUAAAGCUCUGUGGGGAGAGAAGAAUUAGUGGAGGCUAAUCACUCCAUGAUGACGGUAUCUCCUUAGCAAGCACCGGCUAACUCUGUGCCAGCAGCCGCGGUAAGACAGAGGGUGCAAACGUUGUUCGGAAUUACUGGGCGUAAAGCGUGUGUAGGUGGCUGCGAAAGUCGGAUGUGAAAGCCCUGGGCUCAACUCAGGAAGUGCACCCGAUACUGCGUAGCUAGAGUACCGGAGAGGUUGGUGGAAUUCUCGGUGUAGAGGUGAAAUUCGUAGAUAUCGAGAGGAACACCUGUGGCGAAGGCGGCCAACUGGACGGAUACUGACACUGAGACACGAAAGCGUGGGGAGCAAACAGGAUUAGAAACCCGAGUAGUCC
rnacentral:rRNA from 1 species